GAUGAACGCUGGCGGCGUGCUUAACACAUGCAAGUCGAACGGUGAAGGCGGAGCUUGCUCUGCUGGAUCAGUGGCGAACGGGUGAGUAACACGUGAGCAAUCUGCCCCUGACUCUGGGAUAAGCGCUGGAAACGGCGUCUAAUACUGGAUACGAGCUGCGAAGGCAUCUUCAGCAGCUGGAAAGAAUUUCGGUCAGGGAUGAGCUCGCGGCCUAUCAGCUUGUUGGUGAGGUACUGGCUCACCAAGGCGUCGACGGGUAGCCGGCCUGAGAGGGUGACCGGCCACACUGGGACUGAGACACGGCCCAGACUCCUACGGGAGGCAGCAGUGGGGAAUAUUGCACAAUGGGCGAAAGCCUGAUGCAGCAACGCCGCGUGAGGGACGACGGCCUUCGGGUUGUAAACCUCUUUUAGCAGGGAAGAAGCGAAAGUGACGGUACCUGCAGAAAAAGCGCCGGCUAACUACGUG
rnacentral:rRNA from 1 species